UACAGUCUCUCCCCCCCUUGGUAAUUGAGUUCCAACGAGUUUGUUUCUAAUGGAAGAGAGCUGAGCAACAACAUCACUUAUAUUCAUGCGCUCUUGUGGUGAUUCUGUAGAACAAGAGAUUCCAAUUUCUAAUAUUGAAAUCAAACAUUCAAUGAAUAUAUCGUUUCCGCUAUUCCUAAAAUUGUAGUUACUAUGUGCAUUGAGUUGCGCUUCAAAAAGAUUGGGAUCUAUAAUCUCUUUUACUUGUUCCGGCAAAAAUCUUUUGACAAAACUGUGAAGGCUCAAAUUCUCUUUGAACAUGUCAUCGGUUGGCCUCUUUCCCGUGAACAUCUCCAACAAGAGUAUUCCAAAACUAAAUGUGUCACCACGUGUUGAUACUUCAUUGCCCACACCAUACUCUGGAGGACAAUAUCCGAUAGUUCCCCUUAUUCCAAGAGAACUAGAUUGAUUUGUUGAAUGGCCAAGCAUCCUAGUAGAAAGAAACUUUACCAACCCAAAAUCACCUACAUGUCCAGUCAUUUUUUCGUCGAGAAGGACAUUUCUUGGUUUUAGAUCACAAUGAACAAAUGGUGUUCCACAAUGAUAAUGAAGAUACUCAAGCGCAGAAGCAACAUCGAUGGCAAUAUUCAAUCUUU
rnacentral:misc_RNA from 1 species